UCAUCAUUUUGAUAAGUAAUUUUUAUCAUUCAUGCCAAGUAAUAUUAACUACCCUUCUGUAUUGACUGCACGACCCGACACAAUUAAGUCAAGUUUACUUGAGUAACACGAAAUUCGAAACCCUCUUCCUGCUCAGCCAGCGACGUCAGAGGACAAUUAGCGCUCCUUUCACACAAUAGGUGAGACCCUGAGCAGAGCAGCAGCACCUGGAUGCUUUUAUACCUCAUUUGAUGAGACAGUUCGUGGAUGUGAAGCCACUGGGAACAAAGAGGAGUUGAGAAGGAUCACAUCGAUUCCUCUCCAGCAAACCAUUUGGUCAACGUUGGACACUGGUUUUUCGGACAAAGGACAGGGUGGCUUGCACGAAAAAAAGUUCUAUGCUGGACUCACUCAGGCAGCAACAUAUCAAAGGUAGAAGAGACAUCAUCAUCCGCUGCUUAAUGGAGUAACUUGGAGAGUCUGGAGAGGAACUCAUCAAGGACUACCAGCAAGGAAGCCAAAGAGGACUUCUCUCAUCAUGACUUUAAAAUCUGAAGGAAAUGCAGCCCAGGAAGGCCACAACCCCUGACCAUGUCGGUCAUCGUCAAGGGAAAACAGGUUCUGGAUGACUGUUGCAAAUGUUUACCUUUUGCUCAAAGGCCUAAGAACCGAAUUUGUUGGGAAUUAACUUACUGCAUUUCUAUUCUGUAUUUCUUACUAAGCUAUUGCACUUUACAGUGAUACUUCAUUGAAAAUGUAAUCUCUGCAGAUGUACACAUUUGUCUGUUUAGUCAGACUGUCUGAGGGAUUUUCUGAAAGCUCUUGAAAUUGUUAAAAAGUUUUGGCCACACUGUUGAGCAUGAGGCCACUUUGUGUUGCUAAAAGAUUGUAUUUUGUAGGCUAGCUGAAAUAUACAUACUUAAAGGCCUUAAAGGGUUAGUUUGGAUUAUUUUAUGUGUGAUUGUAUGAGGUCCUUAUCAAUAGUCAGUGUAUUCGCUACAUGGAGAAACAGCAUGAAAGCUAAGCAAUGAUGUGCCAUGGACGGGGUAAGCAAAAAAGGUAUUUUAGCAAGUUAAAAGACCAACUAAACGCCUUCGGAGAAAUCACAUAUUUUUGUUUGUGUUAUUGUGUGACUUUGGGAAUCUGAACUGUCCCUAAAACACUGAAGUCACACAAUAACACAAACAAACUAAGGAUCUAGGCUGGCACCUUUUUUAAAUGUCUAAAAUGCGUUUGUUGCUGACCCCACCCAGAGCAGUUCAUUACUUGGCUUCUGUGCUGGUGCCCGUCUCUGCUUCUUCUAACUGGGGAUGUGCUGACCGCCAUAUACUGUAGCUAAUACACUGACUACAGAAAAGUACCUCAUACAGCCACACAUGUAAUAAUCCUAUCAAACUGUUUAAGAGGUCAAAUGCAUCAGAAAGGUCACAUGUCCUAUUUGAAAAUGUUUUAGUCUGACUAAGUGUUUCAAAUGAAAGUCUGCGGUACUGCUGCUAGCACUGAUUUAGAUAUGUUUUAAUGCCCACCAGAUUGUAUGUGUAAAAAGCAACCUCUUACAUCAUUG